rnacentral:rRNA from 1 species
AUUGAACGCUGGCGGCAUGCCUUACACAUGCAAGUCGAACGGUAACAGGUCUUCGGAUGCUGACGAGUGGCGAACGGGUGAGUAAUACAUCGGAACGUGCCUAGUAGUGGGGGAUAACUACUCGAAAGAGUGGCUAAUACCGCAUGAGAUCUACGGAUGAAAGCAGGGGAUCGCAAGACCUUGUGCUACUAGAGCGGCCGAUGGCAGAUUAGGUAGUUGGUGGGAUAAAAGCUUACCAAGCCGACGAUCUGUAGCUGGUCUGAGAGGACGAUCGGCCACACUGGGACUGUGAAACGGCCCAGACUCCGACGGGAGGAAGCAGUGGGGAAUUUUGGACAAUGGGCGCAAGCCUGAUCCAGCAAUGCCGCGUGCAGGAUGAAGGCCUUCGGGUUGUAAACUGCUUUUGUACGGAACGAAAAGCCCCGGGUUAAUACCCUGGGGUCAUGACGGUACCGUAAGAAUAAGCACCGGCUAACUACGUGCCAGCAGCCGCCGUAA